AAUCGAACCCGGAGAUAGCUGGUUCUCCUCGAAAUAGCUUUAGGGCUAGCCUCAUGGAUCAUUGAUGGGGGUAGAGCACUGAAUGUGCGCGGGGGCCACAAAGCCUACCAAACGCUAUCAAACUUCGAAUACCAUACAAUGCAGACCAUGGGAGUCAGUCCGCGAGAGAUAAGUUCCGCGGGCAAAAGGGGAACACCCCAGAUCAACCGCUAAGGUCCCCAAGUUCACGUUAAGUGGAGAAGGAUGUGGAAUUGCACAGACAACCAGGAUGUUGGCUCAGAAGCAGCCACACAUUUAAAGAGUGCGUAAUAGCUCACUGGUCGAGUGAUUGUGCGCCGAAGAUGUCCGGGGCUAAACGUGACACCGAAGCGAUGGGUGCGUCUGAAGAAGAUGCGCGGUAGAGGAGCAAUGUGCAGAGGCAGAAGCCGUAUCGAGAGGCACGGUGGACACUGCACAAGAGAGAAUGCCGGUAUGAGUAGCGAGAGGCAUGCGAGAAACAUGCCCGUCGAAAGCCCAAGGUUUCCUGGGGAAGGUUCAUCCGCCCAGGGUAAGUCGGGGCCUAAGCCGAGGACGGAAGUCGUAGGCGAUGGACAGCAGGUGUAGAUUCCUGCACUACCGAUGGAAUGAAGCAGUGACACAGAAGGAUAACUCGAGCAGGGUGAUGGUCAACCCUGUGCAAGCAUCAAGGUUGGGUUGUAGUGAAGUACGCAACCCUAUAAGCUGAGAUGUGAUGCGGACCGAAAUUUCAGUAGGGAAGCGAGUGAGUUCACGCUGGCGAGAAAAGCUGCUAGUACAUCCAAAGGUACCCGUACCGGAAACCGACGCAGGUGGGCGAGGAGAGAAUCCUGAGACGAACGGGAGAACCCUUGUUAAGGAACUCGGCAAAAUGACCCCGUAACUUCGGGAUAAGGGGUGCCUGCGAGAGCAGGCCGCAGAGAAUAGUCACAAGCGACUGUUUAGCAAAAACACAGGUAUCUGCGAAAGCGAGAGCUGACGUAUAGGUGCUGACACCUGCCCGGUGCUGGAAGGUUAAGGGAACAUGUUAGAGCAAUCGAAGCAUCGAACCGAAGCCCCAGUAAACGGCGGCCGUAACUAUAACGGUCCUAAGGUAGCGAAAUUCCUUGUCGGGUAAGUUCCGACCCGCACGAAUGGUGUAACGACUUGUGAGCUGUCUCAACAGGGGGCCCGGUGAAAUUGAAGUAUGGGUGAAGAUGCCCAUUACCCGCGACUGGACGGAAAGACCCCGUAGAGCUUUACUGCAGCCUGAUAUUGAGUUUCGGUAACUGAUGCACAGGAUAGGUGGGAGUCUGAGAGACAUGGGUUUCGGCUCAUGUGGAGACGGUGUUGGGAUACCACUCUUCGGUUACUGAAAUUCUAACAUAGCUCUGUGAAACCAGAGGAUGGACAGUGUCAGGUGGACAGUUUGACUGGGGCGGUCGCCUCCGAAAGAGUAACGGAGGCGCCCAAAGGUACCCUCAGAAUGGAUGGAAACCAUUCGAAGAGCGCAAAGGCAGAAGGGUGCCUGACUGCGAGAUUGACAAAUCGAGCAGAGACGAAAGUCGGGCUUAGUGAUCCGGCGGUAUUGAGUGGAAAAGCCGUCGCUUAACGGAUAAAAGCUACCUCGGGGAUAACAGGCUGAUCUCCCCCAAGAGUCCACAUCGACGGGGAGGUUUGGCACCUCGAUGUCGGCUCAUCGCAUCCUGGGGCUGUAUUCGGUCCCAAGGGUUUGGCUGUUCGCCAAUUAAAGCGGCACGCGAGCUGGGUUCAGAACGUCGUGAGACAGUUCGGUCCCUAUCCAUCGUGGGCGUAGGAGUCAUGAGAGGAGCUGUUCCUAGUACGAGAGGACCGGAAUGGACGCACCACUGGUGCAACUGUUGUCGUGCCAACGGCAUAGCAGGGAAGCGAAGUGCGGAUGGGAUAAACGCUGAAGGCAUCUAAGCGUGAAGCCCACCUCAAGAAUAAGACUCCACAUAGACCCCUGGAGGACUACCAGGUAGAUAGGUCAUCGGUGGAAGCGCUGUAAGGUGU
rnacentral:rRNA from 1 species